rnacentral:rRNA from 1 species
CAUGGCUCAGGAUGAACGCUAGCGGCAGGCUUAAUACAUGCAAGUCGUGGGGCAGCAUGAGUAGCAAUACUUGAUGGUGACCGGCAAACGGGUGAGGAACACGUACACAACCUUCCUUCAAGCGGGGAAUAGCCCAGAGAAAUUUGGAUUAAUACCCCAUAAUAUAUUUGAUAAGGCAUCUUAUUAAUAUUAAAGCUUCGGCACUUGAUGAUGGGUGUGCGGCUGAUUAGAUAGUUGGCGGGGUAACGGCCCACCAAGUCUACGAUCAGUAGCUGAUGUGAGAGCAUGAUCAGCCACACGGGCACUGAGACACGGGCCCGACUCCUACGGGAGGCAGCAGUAAGGAAUAUUGGACAAUGGACGAAAGUCUGAUCCAGCCAUGCCGCGUGAAGGAUUAAGGUCCUCUGGAUUGUAAACUUCUUUUAUAUGGGACGAAAAAGGGCAUUCUUGUUCACUUGACGGUACCAUAUGAAUAAACACCGGCUAACUCCGUG